CCUACGGGCGGCAGCAGUGGGUAAUAUUGGACAAUGGGGGGAACCCUGAUCCAGCCAUGCCGCGUGUGUGAAGAAGGCCCUCGGGUUGUAAAGCACUUUCAGUGAGGAAGAACGCCUGGUGGUUAAUACCCAUCAGGAAAGACAUCACUCACAGAAGAAGCACCGGCUAACUCCGUGCCAGCAGCCGCGGUAAUACGGAGGGUGCGAGCGUUAAUCGGAAUUACUGGGCGUAAAGCGCGCGUAGGUGGCUUGAUAAGCCGGUUGUGAAAGCCCCGGGCUCAACCUGGGAACGGCAUCCGGAACUGUCAAGCUAGAGUGCAGGAGAGGAAGGUAGAAUUCCCGGUGUAGCGGUGAAAUGCGUAGAGAUCGGGAGGAAUACCAGUGGCGAAGGCGGCCUUCUGGACUGACACUGACACUGAGGUGCGAAAGCGUGGGUAGCAAACAGGAUUAGAUACCCUGGUAGUC
rnacentral:rRNA from 1 species